GACGUAGGGCGCGAGCGUUGUCCGGAUUUAUUGGGCGUAAAGAGCUCGUAGGCGGCUCGUUGCGUCGGCUGUGAAAACCCGCAGCUCAACUGUGGGCUUGCAGCUGAUACGGGCGGGCUGGAGUUCGGUAGGGGAGACUGGAAUUCCUGGUGUAGCGGUGAAAUGCGCAGAUAUCAGGAGGGACACCGGUGGCGAAGGCGGGUCUCUGGGCCGAUACUGACGCUGAGGAGCGAAAGCGUGGGGAGCGAACAGG
rnacentral:rRNA from 1 species